rnacentral:tRNA from 1 species
GGCCCUUUAGCUCAGUGGUUAGAGCAAACGACUCAUAAUCGUUAGGCCGUUGGUUCAAAUCCAACAAGGGCCA